rnacentral:rRNA from 1 species
AUGUACAUUCCUACAACAUAGCAUUAAUGCACUAGAUCCCAUUAUAACUCUGCAAUUAAGCGAGCUUAGGCUAGAGUUGUAGUGGGAUGGGUGAUCAUUCAGGAAUUCCUAGCGUUUUACAUG